rnacentral:rRNA from 1 species
GACGAACGCUGGCGGCGUGCCUAAUACAUGCAAGUCGAGCGGACUGAUUAAGAGCUUGCUCUUAUGACGUUAGCGGCGGACGGGUGAGUAACACGUGGGCAACCUGCCCUGUAGAUCGGGAUAACACCGAGAAAUCGGUGCUAAUACCGGGUAAUAUCUGAGAUCACAUGAUCUUAGGUUAAAAGAUGGCUCCGGCUAUCACUACAGGAUGGGCCCGCGGCGCAUUAGCUAGUUGGUAAGGUAAUGGCUUACCAAGGCGACGAUGCGUAGCCGACCUGAGAGGGGGUGCGGCCACACGGGGGCUGGGACACGGCCCAGACUCCUACGGGAGGCGGCGGUGGGGAAUAUUCCGCAAUGGAGGAAAGUCUGACGGGGCAACGCCGCGUGAGUGAUGAAGGGUUUCGGCUCGUAAAGCUCUGUUGUUAGGGAAGAAACAGUACGGAACGAACUAGGUCGGUACCUUGACGGUACCUAACCAGAAAGCCACGGCUAACUACGUG